rnacentral:rRNA from 1 species
GACAGAGGGUGCAAACGUUGUUCGGAAUUACUGGGCGUAAAGCGCGUGUAGGCGGCACGGCAAGUCGGAUGUGAAAGCCCCGGGCUCAACCCAGGAAGUGCAUUCGAUACUGCCGAGCUGGAGUCUCGGAGAGGAUGGUGGAACUCUCGGUGUAGAGGUGAAAUUCGUAGAUAUCGAGAAGAACAUCGGUGGCGAAGGCGGCCAUCUGGACGAUGACUGACGCUGAGACGCGAAAGCGUGGGGAGCAAACAGG